rnacentral:rRNA from 1 species
UACGUAGGGGGCAAGCGUUGUCCGGAUUUAUUGGGCGUAAAGAGCGUGUAGGCGGCUAGAUAGGUCCGUUGUGAAAACUCGAGGCUCAACCUCGAGACGUCGAUGGAAACCAUCUGGCUAGAGUCCGGAAGAGGAGAGUGGAAUUCCUGGUGUAGCGGUGAAAUGCGCAGAUAUCAGGAAGAACACCCGUGGCGAAGGCGGCUCUCUGGUACGUGACUGACGCUGAGACGCGAAAGCCAGGGGAGCGAACGGG